rnacentral:rRNA from 1 species
UACGGAGGUGGCAAGCGUUGCUCGGAAUCACUGGGCUUACAGGGUGCGUAGGCGGCCUUCCAAGUCAGGUGUGAAAUCCCCCCAGCUCAACUGGGGAACAGCGCUUGAAACUGGUUGGCUUGAGUCAGCUAGAGGUGCACGGAACUUCCGGUGGAGCGGUGAAAUGUGUUGAUAUCGGAAGGAACACCAGAGGCGAAAGCGGUGCACUGGAGCUGGUCUGACGCUGAGGCACGAAAGCCAGGGGAGCGAACGGG